CAACGACUCUCGGCAACGGAUAUCUCGGCUCUCGCAUCGAUGAAGAACGUAGCGAAAUGCGAUACUUGGUGUGAAUUGCAGAAUCCCGUGAACCAUCGAGUCUUUGAACGCAAGUUGCGCCCRAAGCCGUCAGGCCGAGGGCACGUCUGCCUGGGCGUCACGC
rnacentral:rRNA from 2 species